GAGACCGGAAGUGAGUGAUCGAAAGCAUGGCGUCGGUGGUGUUGGCGCUGAGGACCCGGACAGCCGUUACAUCCUUGCUAAGCCCCACUCCGGCUACAGCUCUUGCUGUCAGAUACGCAUCCAAGAAGUCGGGUGGUAGCUCCAAAAACCUCGGUGGAAAGUCAUCAGGCAGACGCCAAGGCAUUAAGAAAAUGGAAGGUCACUAUGUUCAUGCUGGGAACAUCAUUGCAACACAGCGCCAUUUCCGCUGGCACCCAGGUGCCCAUUGGCGUUGGAAAUAAUACCUCUUUCACUAGGUCUGUGUGUUGCAGGUGGGUGUUGGGAAGAAUAAAUGUCUGUAUGCCCUGGAAGAGGGGAUAGUCCGCUACACUAAGGAGGUCUACGUGCCUCAUCCCAGAAACACGGAGGCUGUGGAUCUGAUCACCAGGCUGCCCAAGGGUGCUGUGCUCUACAAGACUUUUGUCCACGUGGUUCCUGCCAAGCCUGAGGGCACCUUCAAACUGGUAGCUAUGCUUUGAUGUCCUGUUGAGGCCAUCGGACAGAGACUGGAGCCCAGGUGACAGGAGAUGGUGAUACCAGAAGUCAAGGGUUGGGGUGGCGACACGGCCUCCCGAGGAAGAGGUCUGCUUGAUGGUGACUCUGCAGGAGACUCUGAAGUGACUGCUGGGAAACCCUUUGGGAGACCUGACCUGGGGCCAAAAAUAAAGUGAGCCAGCGUCAUGAACGCAUGCUAUUUAGGGAC
rnacentral:lncRNA from 10 species